ACCUUUCGAUGAUGAAAUAAGUUAUCCCUGUCCGAGUAACUAAACAAAUCUGUGGAUAGAAAUCUUAUUCUGAGAAUGGU